rnacentral:rRNA from 1 species
UCCUGGCUCAGGAUGAACGCGGCGGCGUGCCUAAUACAUGCAAGUCGAGCGAACGGACGAGAGUGCUUGCACUCUCUGAUGUUAGCGGCGGACGGGUGAGUAACACGUGGGUAACCUACCUAUAAGACUGGGAUAACUUCGGGAAACCGGAGCUAAUACCGGAUAAUAUUUAGCUUCGCAUGAAGCAAUAGUGAAAGACGGUUCUGCUGUCACUUAUAGAUGGACCCGCGGUGUAUUAGCUAGUUGGUGAGGUAACGGCUCACCAAGGCAACGAUACAUAGCCGACCUGAGAGGGUGAUCGGCCACACUGGGACUGAGACACGGCCCAGACUCCUACGGGAGGCAGCAGUAGGGAAUCUUCCGCAAUGGACGAAAGUCUGACGGAGCAACGCCGCGUGAGUGAAGAAGGUUUUCGGAUCGUAAAACUCUGUUGUAAGGGAAGAACAAGUACGUUAGAACUGAACGUACCUGA